UACGGGGGGGGGCAAGCGUUGUUCGGAAUUACUGGGCGUAAAGGGCUCGUAGGCGGCCAACUAAGUCAUACGUGAAAUCCCUCGGCUUAACCGGGGAACUGCGUCUGAUACUGGAUGGCUUGAGUUCGGGAGAGGGAUGCGGAAUUCCAGGUGUAGCGGUGAAAUGCGUAGAUAUCUGGAGGAACACCGGUGGCGAAGGCGGCGAUCCUGGACCGGUAUUGACGCUGAGGCGCGAAAGCUAGGGGAGCAAACAGG
rnacentral:rRNA from 1 species